rnacentral:rRNA from 1 species
CGUGAGUAACCUGCCUUACACGAGGGGAUAGCCUCUGGAAACGGAGAAUAAUACCCUAUGACAUUACAGCCUCGCAUGAAGCAGUAAUCAAAGUGUUUAGCGGUGUAAGAUGGACUUGCGUCUGAUUAGCUAGUUGGUGAGAUAACAGCUCACCAAGGCAACGAUCAGUAGCCGGCUUGAGAGAGUGUACGGCCACAUUGGGACUGAGACACGGCCCAG